rnacentral:misc_RNA from 1 species
AAAAAAAUAGGCAAGAAUGCACAGAACCUAACAAUGCCUACAAAAUAUUAGGGAGAUGAGAAUCCAAUCUCUGUUGCAACUCUUUAAUCUUGAUGGAGAGCUCUGCCUUCUGCUCCUUGUAGCUCUGCAACAGGUACUCCUUCCCUUCUAUUACUUCCUUCAACUCUCCUAUUUCCCUCUUCAGCAUCUCAACCCUUUCCCCAUCUCCCCUUCCCUUUUCUGACAACUCCAAACUGCUGUCCCCAUCCAGAUACCCAUUUGCAUGACCAUUUCUCACCUCAGAUGGCCAUAUAGUGACUGUUGGUUUUUCAUUGAUGGCUGCAUGUUUCACACAGUGAUCAGCAAUU